UACGAAGGGUGCAAGCGUUACUCGGAAUUACUGGGCGUAAAGCGUGCGUAGGUGGUUUGUUAAGUCUGAUGUGAAAGCCCUGGGCUCAACCUGGGAAUGGCAUUGGAUACUGGCAGUCUAGAGUGCGGUAGAGGGUAGCGGAAUUCCCGGUGUAGCAGUGAAAUGCGUAGAUAUCGGGAGGAACAUCCGUGGCGAAGGCGACUACCUGGCCUGUUCUUGACGCUGAGGCGCGAAAGCUAGGGGAGCAAACGGG
rnacentral:rRNA from 1 species